CACACACACACACACACACACACACAGAGUUUCCCUCUGUGGUGACUGUAAUUGUAGUGAUGUGAUAUUGUCAUUGUUGUGUGUGUGAGAUGAGAGUAAAUGUUGUGUAUAUAAAGAUUUUGUGUAGUUGAUGUUUUCAGAGCUAAAACUGAGUGUGUUAAGUGUGAGAAGGUUUUCUUUCUUGCAGGAUGUGUUACUGCAGGAUUACAGAUGAAGGUUGUGCUGCUCUGGCUUCUGCUCUGAGGUCAAACUCCUCAUCACACCUGAGAGAACUGGAUCUGAACGAUAAUAAUCCAGGAGAAUCAGGAGUGAAGCUGCUCUCUGAUCUACUGAAGGAUCCACACUGUAACCUGGAGACACUACACAUUAAGGGUAAUAAACUCACCAGGACUAGCGUAUGACAGGAGUCUCACCUCAAACCUCUUCUCCAGGAUAAAGCAGUCUCGGUGAAGAGUUAGAACCCGUCCCACAUUUCCAGCAGUUUGGGAGCUGAAUCAUUAAACUUAAAGGGGCAGAGCAGAAACAAAGUCAAGAACAUGCAUAAGAUCGUACACAGGAGAAAUCAACACACGUAACCAAAUAUCUGCUGUACAAAGCAACGGCACCGAUCUGCCCCGGGGAUGGAGACUGACGAGGCUUAAGUACACGUCCGGAAAUGUACAGACAACUCAUCCCAAAGCACGAGGCGGGAGCAGGCGUGUACGAGAUGUGAUCGUCCAAUGGCAAGCAGGAACAUGACGCAUUGCAGUGGACUGGGCUUAAAAGAGGAGACAAGACACCCAUCCCUCCCCCGACAUAGACACACGAAUGGAACAUAGUACAAACAGAAAUACAACUGAGCACGUAUCAAUGGUCAAGUAUCAAAUAAAAUGUAAACUUACAUUGAUGAAGGUAAUGUUGUUAGUAAUUGUUUAUAAAUUACCAUGGUAACACGGAGCUCCAAGGUAUAAAAAUAUGGAGUUUGUCAUCAAUCAAACAGUAACCAGUUUUAAUACCUAAAAAAGUUUACAUAGCAAAAUUUAGCAAAGCGCUUUACAGUAAAUUAAAAUGUAAAAUUAAACUAAUGAAAUGUUGUGCAGCACAUGCUUAUGUUAAUGUUUGCUGCUUUAUAUAAUCAUAUAAAUAAAUAAAUACUCCCAAAGUCACCAGAAUUGAAAGCUUUGGUGCUGUUAAACAUUUAGAGAUUGAGGUUGUGGUGAGUCAAUAGUUCACUCAGUAUAUCUGAGUAAGACACAGUGAACGACUCACUGCUGGCAUUCAUGAAGAAGUCAUAAACUCCACUGGAAUAAUAAAUAGGAUCUAAUAAAACCAUGAGUGGAAAUUAUUGGUGUAAGUUUGUUGGGAUAGACUUCCUCCAACCUGGAACUAUAUCCUCCAGUCCACGCGGUGGCGGUAACGCGCCUAACAGCUGCGUCUCUGACCAGUAGAAAUUUACAGAAGAAGAAAAAGCUGCAGCGGGUAUCUCCUGAGCAGUUGAGUUAUUACACCGAACUAACCAUCUCCAGAUUAAAUUAUUUCUGACAGUUUUACAGUUAGAUUUGAUCCAGUUUAAAAGUAAAAGCUGGUUAUUUUGUCUGUGUUUGAGGAAUUAAAAGUCCGUUCUGUUUUUAAACCUGAGAAUCCCUUCUAUUGUGUGCUGGAAGAUCGCUGGACUUGAAGCAACUCCAAAUGGUGGCCUGUUGGGAAUGAGAAACUCUGACACAACAGUACAUCCUGACCAUUGGUACUGUGUACACAUCAACAUACACACACGUCUCCAUGCUGGACAUCUCAGGAGCUUUUACACACAGUGCUAGGAAUAUCACGGGACAGAGAAACACACCUCCAAAGUGAGCGAGUUUAGUGUCAACCGGUGAAAUUUGCUGUAGCAUGAACGCUUCGCCUCUGUGAGCUUCACUCUCCGUCAGGUUCACUGUAAUUAGACAUAAAAUGUACAUAAUGUUUAUUUUUCAUACAUUUAGGAUUUAAUGUUUUUUUUUUUUUUUUUUACUCUUCGAGGAACAGAAAUGAUCUUUCGAGGCAGCUUCUUCAUCACUACCUGCUCUGUUUGACUCAAAAAUGUAACGACCGGUUUCAAAAAGUCACGAUGUCUUCAGUUCAUGUGAUUUUACUGUUGAAUUUAAACAGGAAAUGUGAAAUAUUUUUUCCUUUGUUUCCUCUACUGUCUUUUUGCUGUGAUAUUGAACACAGUUGUAAUUUUUUUUAAAUAAUAAAUAAAUGAUCAUUCUAUUCUCUCACUUUCCUUGUCCUAAUUGUCCUGUAUCUGUUAAAUCCGUUUCAUCUCUGGUCUUUCUGUCUGUAUGAACAUUUGUAGAAAUGACUUGUAGUCCAUAUUUUUAAAUAUUUUUAUUCAUGAUUUUGAAUUUAAAUAAAGAUAUUCUUUAA